rnacentral:rRNA from 1 species
CAGUCGCCGCGGGAAAACGGAGGGGGCUAGCGUUGUUCGGAAUUACUGGGCGUAAAGCGCACGUAGGCGGCUUGGUAAGUUAGAGGUGAAAGCCUGGAGCUCAACUCCAGAAUUGCCUUUAAGACUGCCGAGCUAGCAGGUGAGAGAGGUAAGUGGAAUUCCGAGUGUAGAGGUGAAAUUCGUAGAUAUUCGGAAGAACACCAGUGGCGAAGGCGGCUUACUGGCUCAUACUGGACGCUGAGGUGCGAAAGCGUGGGGAGCAAACAGGAUUAGAUACCCCAGUAGUCCCUGUCUCUUAUAC